UUAUUCUCUAAAACUCUCCAGUUUCAAUUGGCCUCUUGGUGCCAAAGCACCAUGGCGUGUUACACCUAUCAGAUCGGGCACACUGCCCCUUCUUCCCAACCUAAGAGCUGAAAUGGCCAGCACUGCGCCUUCCAGAACUCAGCGUAGAUGCACAGCUGCCACGGAGGUAGGAAGAAUGAUUCGUUUGCCACCAAAAGCCCAGUUUCUCCAACAGGUGAAUCCCUAGGCCAGCCCGGCCCCUUCCCACACACCCCUACCCCGAGACGGGUGCAGAAUCAGCAGCGGGGAUCAUCCAGAAACUCUCGCAGUCCAUGGCAGGUGUCGGAGUGGGCCUCAUUCCAGAGUUGUGGUGGCCGUUCCACCUGGCGAGCUUCGAGGGGACUCCGGCAGGCGCUCGCUGUGGGGUCCUCCCACCAGUCUUCUCAGCACAGGAACGGUGCCUUCACAUUGGUCUUCCAGGGCUUAAAAGCAUAUCAUUCCUGCUUGCUCUUCAGAUGCAAACGCCCCCUCCAAGGAUACCUCCAGGUUCCCUGCCAGCUCACUUGACUCACAUGGCAAUGGUCACCGGGCUGCCUGAGCCCAAAUCAAGCACCGUUUAUUAGGAGGAAGCUCUGUUAUCCAGAAAGCUCAUCUUUGAAGAGCUACCCAUUUCCUGCCAAAGUUGUGGCGGGAAGGCCUUAGGUACUAGAAAACCUUGGGGAAUGGCAAUUAAAGGAUUAUCAUUCUUACUUAUUUGUUUGGAUAAGCAGCAAUCACCCUUCGGAUGCUUAUUGGUGAGAAUAUUUCUAAAAGCGUCCUGCACAUUUCCCUGCUUUGAUGAAUGGAACGGCAGGGCAGGAUUUAACUGUCUGAUGGCUACGGUUUCGGGAAAGUGCCAGAACCUCCACGUCAGCCACCCCAGAGCCACAGGCAGGGUAUGAGCCACAGCAAUGGGCCCCAAGAAAGAGCCCCACACCCACCAUGGUCCACGGAAGAUGCUGCUUACUGGCCCCGGGUUACCCGGAGUCAUGUGCAUUCUCCUUACACCAAGUGAAGAUAAUAUUUUGUUUCCUUCCCACUUUUUCUCUAACACAAGCCACCCCAGUUCUCCCUUCUGACAACAGGCAAGUGGACCCUAGACCUUCCAGAAAAGCCUUAGAGAGCACCCCCAAAUGCUCACAUUUGUCAGCUGUAAUUCCACCCUCAGUUAAAACCUGAUUCUCAAUGUGACUUGGCCAACGCAGCUUGCAAAGCAAGAACGUCUUCAUGUAAGGUUGAAAACAUCAGUUGUUUGGGUUGUGAGAAAAGAAAAGCCCACAGGGUUUCCGAGGCUUGGUGCUGUUUCCCACUGUCCUCAGCUCCGGAUUCUGCAGCUGGUUCUCUCUCCAAGCACCAGCAAAACCCUGUCCUAGGAGCCCCCAGACUCUGAGAGCCCAUGACCAAAAAGAAAAGGAAAGCCAAGUUGGGGAAGAACAGGGGCCCCCAACUCCACAGCCCUCCACUCUGCCCAGAGGGCCCACCCUGGGCUGCCUGGAACCCCCUAAAGUUGCCACCCCCGCAACACAGUAGUGGGGCAGUUCCUGGCAGCGCCUGCAGCCCAUGGGCUGGCUCUGUACCCGCAGCCCCGCCAAGCGUCUGUUAUCUUAUUUACUGGAAUCUGCACAGCCAGGCUCUAGCUCACCGGUGACUAAGGAGCUGCAGCCAUUAUUACCAGGCAGAUGGCAGACUCCCUAAAAGCAGACAUUAAACAAUAAAAUGCCACCACAUACCUUGCCCACAAAAUAAAAUCAAAACAAACACCUAAGUCUGGCUUUGCUUUUCUUCUGCUCUCUCCCUACCUCCCCUGUGUCAGAGCACAGGGGGAGAGGGGCACGGGGCACCGAGAAGGAAAUUUACGAUCGAGGAAGACCAUACGGACAUGCCCAGUGACCUUCAGAAGGUGGCAGUAGCAGAACCACCAUGGGACCCCAGGUGGCGGAGAGGGCAGACCCUGUCCAUGUGUGACAGGUGGGGCGGAACCACCAGCUAGGACAGGUGGGAUUGGAAGAACAAAGGAACGACAGGGACCCUGCAGAACCC
rnacentral:lncRNA from 1 species